rnacentral:lncRNA from 1 species
CUUCUCUCUCUCUCUCUCUCUCUCUCUUUCUUUCUUUCUUUCUUUCUUUCUUUCUUUCUUUCUUUCUUUCUUUCUUUCUUUCUUUCUUUCUUUCUUUCUUUCUUUCUUUCUUUCUUUCUUUCUUUCUUUCUUUCCUCUUCUUUCCCAUCCUUUUCAAAACCCUUCCUUCCUUCUUAGAAUCAAUACAGUAUAUUGCCUCCAAUGUAGAACAGUAAGGGCUAGGCAAUGGAGGUUAAGUGACUUUCCCAGGGCCACAUAUCUAAAAAGUAUCUACAGCCAGAUUUGAACUUAGGGCUUUCCAUCUCUAGGCCUAGCUCUCAAUCCACUGAACCAUUUAGCUACCUUCAUAAAACCCUAUUCUAAUAUCUAAUUGUACUAUGAAGAUUAUUGUUGUUUAUCCUUAGUUUUCAAAGAACAAUGAUAUCAUGACUUGAUGUCUUGUCUUGCCCAUGAAUUAGAUUUGUGUGAGGGUAGGGGCAACUGGGUGGCUAAGUGAAUUGAGAGCCAGGCCUAGAGACAGGAGGUCCUGGGUUCAAAUCUGCCCUCAGAUACUUCCUAGCUAGGUGACCCUGGGCAAGUCACUUAACCCCCAUUGCUUAGCCUUUAUCACUCUUCUACCUUAGAAUCAAUAAGAUGGAAGGUAAGGGGGUUAAAAAAAAAAGAUUUGAGUGAGGCAGAGUUGUACAAAGUAGUCAAUUUUAUUAUUUUCCAGAGUCAUCAAAUCAGUGGCAAGAUGAAAGUCAAGACAAACUAGUGAUGGCCCCCAAUUCAGUUGAUGAGCUUGAUCUCUUCAUUGUCUGACCAAGCUCUAAAUGCAUCACAAUGCCUGCCUCAGCUGCCUUCAUGGCCAUCGUUUUUAUCCGCUUAUUCCCCUGGGAGAUGUCUUCAUAUGCUUGGGUAGCACUAUGAAGGUUCCCUGCAUUCUUGAAGGUUGUGCCCACCAUUAGCAAAUUCUGAAGUUUCUCCCAUGCUGGAAAGAGUGUAACUGGUUUCAGGACAGAUUGUGUUUGCUAUGUCAGGACUAGUUUAGUUAAUCACCAGCAGAUUGGCCACUAGAUGAUGAAUUAUUUGCCAAUAACAACCCAUAAAAC